rnacentral:rRNA from 1 species
GAUGAACGCUGGCGGCGUGCCUAAUACAUGCAAGUCGAGCGAACAGACGAGGAGCUUGCUCCUCUGACGUUAGCGGCGGACGGGUGAGUAACACGUGGAUAACCUACCUAUAAGACUGGGAUAACUUCGGGAAACCGGAGCUAAUACCGGAUAAUAUAUUGAACCGCAUGGUUCAAUAGUGAAAGACGGUUUUGCUGUCACGUAUAGAUGGAUCCGCGCCGCAUUAGCUAGUUGGUAAGGUAACGGCUUAACAAGGCAACGAUGCGUAGCCGAGCGGAGAGGGUGAUCGGCCACCCUGGAACUGAGACACGGUCCAGACUACUAAGGGAGGCAGCAGUAGGGAAUCUUCCGCAAUGGGCGAAAGCCUGACGGAGCAACGCCGCGUGAGUGAUGAAGGUCUUCGGAUCGUAAAACUCUGUUAUUAGGGAAGAACAAAUGUGUAAGUAACUAUGCACGUCUUGACGGUACCUAAUCAGAAAGCCACGGCUAACUACGUG